AAGGCAUUAUCAGGUUUGGGGAUGAGGCUCCCCCUGUGUGUGUGUGCGUGUGAGAACCACACCGAGGUCUGGAUCAGAAUGGAAGAAACUGAGAAGAGAAAACCCAACCCUUUUCAGAAGAUCCAGCCCCUCCCUGCCCCUGGGUGGCCCUUCGCCCAUCACCCAGCAUCUCCUCGCGGGAGAAGCCUGCCUGGCCCUCUGGUCCUCAGGAAACCUCCCGUCCUGAGAGGGAAGCGGGGCAGCCCCGCGGCCGCAGCUGCUCUCACGGAGGAGCGAGACCAGGGCUGACAAGGCCGGCCUCUGUUCACAUCUCCAAGGAGGCACAGAAACCUCAUUCCAGCGGAGUUUCCUUCGGAGAGAGAGAGCGCCCAGCAGACUCUUGACAAACAAAGUGACUUCAAAGACAGCGGAGCUCAUGGUGAUGGCCCGGGCACUUCCAGGCAAUUACUUCUGCGUGUGCGGCGCUCCUGGGCCCCCCAUUGUCUGGGUAGGUCGGGUGGUAAGAUCCAGGGCGAGGGAUCCGGGGAACCGGGUUCGAGUCAUAGCUCGGCCCUUGCCUGUGUGCCCUCCUCCCUGAGCCUCGCUCUCCUCGUUUGCAAAAUGAAGGUGGUUGAGUUUGACAUGUCUCGGGGGGUUUCCAGGUCUGGAAAGGCCGCUGGUUCGGGUUGGUUGUGCCGGUAUGCGGGAGAUACUCCUGGUUGAGGCCACCCUGGUAGCACGGGCUGGGGGCAGCAGCGGAGACCUCAAUCAAGCAGCCUGCCCGUGCACUGACUCACCCACCGUGGCCUUGAACUACUCACUGGCCCUCUUUGUGAGUCCUUCUUAUCGGAGAGAGGAGGUCCGGCAGUCUGGCCCCUGACAUCGCAGCUUAGAUAUGCGACCAGCCUGAAUGACGAGGGUGAAAAGUACUUCGUGUGUCUAGGGCUAAAUGGUUAUUCCUCUUGGAAGAUAAGUUUUAAACGUGCUAGCCCCCCAAUAUAUUUGUUGAUUAUCCAAAAACAGAGUCAUAAAAAGUCAAUAUUCUUUACUCUUGGCUUUCCUUACAUUGCUUCUGGUUCAGAGAAGGCACGUACCAGGUAGCCAGCACGGGCUGUGAGAAUCAGGGUUUCUCCCUCCUACGUCGGCCAGAGCAACAACGUUCCUUGUUUUUGUCAAGUUGCUACUCUGCUCAGAAACCGUCAAGAUUCCCCUGACAUCUGAGGUCCAAUCCAAACUGGCAUGUAAUUCCUGUGAUGACCUGGCUCCAACCUGCAUGAUCUGUCCUCCUGCCUAAAAUCGCAGAAUUCGCCAGGCCCUCCACAAUGGUGCCACACUCACCCCCUAAGGGUCACCUGACAAGUGGACAGCAGGUCUCUGUAGACACAGUGAUGGGGAGAAGCCUCUGAUACUUUUCAAAUCACCCCUAAUUAUUGGAGACCUCUCCCCUGUGUUGGAUCAGAACCUGCCUCAUCAUAAACCCCAACUACCCACCGGUCCUGUAGGAGCCACUCCUAUGCAGCUCUGUUCAGCCUCCUCCGUGUCUGAAGAAGCCAUCAUGCCACCCCUGAGAAAUCUCUUUUCCAGACUCAACAACUGCAGUGUCUUUAACCGAUUUCAUUGGCUAAAUGUUGCUGUCCUUCCCUUUUUUUCUGAACAUGCUUCACAUGGUCACCAUCUCUUCAAAAAGUGACCCUUUAGCCUGGCUGGUGUGGCUCAGUGGUUGGGUGUCAACCUGUGAACCAGGGGGUCGAGGUUCGAUUCCUGGUCAGGGCACAUGCCCGGGUUUCAGACUCCAUCACCAGUGGGUGGGCGUGCAGGAGGGAUCCGAUCAAUGAUUCUCUCUCGUCAUUGAUGUUUCUAUCUCU